AUGGCAAGCUUCUCUGUACCUUUACAGAGGACUGCAACAGUUUUCGAUUGUGUAUUGCCUUGAAAUGUAGAGAUAUGAUACUGAUUUACCUUCGAACCACACUAGAAGUAGAGUUGUUCACUUGACUGAACAAAUUGUCACUAAAAGGCUACAUACGCUCAAAACACAUAAAGGGAAGAAAAAUAAACAUGCAAAUACUGCUACGG
rnacentral:lncRNA from 1 species